AUUGAACGCUGGCGGCAUGCCUUACACAUGCAAGUCGAACGGCAGCACGGGAGCAAUCCUGGUGGCGAGUGGCGAACGGGUGAGUAAAGUAUCGGAACGUGCCCAGUCGUGGGGGAUAACGUAGCGAAAGUUACGCUAAUACCGCAUACGAUAUAUGGAUGAAAGCGGGGGAUCGCACGACAUCGCGCGAUUGGAGCGGCCGAUGUCAGAUUAGGUAGGUGGUGGGGUAAAGGCUCACCAAGCCGACGAUCUGUAGCUGGUCUGAGAGGACGACCAGCCACACUGGGACUGAGACACGGCCCAGACUCCUACGGGAGGCAGCAGUGGGGAAUUUUGGACAAUGGGCGAAAGCCUGAUCCAGCCAUGCCGCGUGCAGGAUGAAGGCCUUCGGGUUGUAAACUGCUUUUGUACGGAACGAAAAGGUUUGGCCUAAUAAGCUGAGCUCAUGACGGUACCGUAAGAAUAAGCACCGGCUAACUACGUGCCAGCCGCCGCAGUAA
rnacentral:rRNA from 1 species